GGUUUGUUGUGACUCAGGCCUUUAUUCACGUUGCGUGUUUCAGUCAUUUGUGGGGCUUGUGACAGUCUAAACUCAAUGACUGUGUCAGCCAUUGUGGGUGAUGGAAUUGGUGACAGCAAGUGGGCCUCAGCCUGCUGGGUGGGAUGGGGGAUAGCCCCUUCACCACGAGGAGUUUUUCUGAGUGUUGUGCCCUAUCAGGCUUCUGGUGAGAAGUGCUCUAAGACAGUAAAUAUUUCCCCUUUUUAUCAAGAAAUAACAAUAUCCCAGUUGAAGGUGUAAAAGGCAAUUUGCAUAGGCGUUAAUUAUUGAGGCUGCACAGCAGCUCUCCUUGGGGCACCAUCCAGAGGCGGCUCACAGCCAGGAACACAAAGGAUCCUCUCUGGGAGUGCAGCCAGGGCCAGACCUUCCACCCAGGCUUGGUUCCUGAAGUGAGCAGUUGGAGCUGAACAUCCUGACAACAGACUCAGUCCCAUUCCUUGAAGCCGUGCGUCUCAUGGAGGGUGGUAUUGAUGCCAGUUGCAGCUCAGCACAGAGCUAUCCUGGGAGCUUCGAUGGGGUCUCGGUGGACAGAUGGACUUGCAGUUGAGAUGGGGGGUCAUUUCAUUCCAGAUGUGGGCACGCUUUGUCAUGGGGGUCAGCAGGGCUGGUCAGCAUGCCCAAGGUCAGCAUGGGGGAGGGUAUCAAACCAGGUCGCAUCUAAACUUAGAGCUUCCAAGCCUGAGGUCUCUGUGAGUCUGCAUCUCACCUUUCCCUCCCCUUCCCCACAUCUAGUGCAUUCCCCAUUUCACAGUCAAAGAAAGCGUGAGUGAUCUGAGGAGCUGACUUAGAGGGUCAGUAUGGUUUGCUAAUGGCAGUUCUGCUGUUAUCAUCUUGGUGAUGAGCCUUGAUACAAGCCACUGAGUCUCCAGAUCUCAUUAACCAUUGCUGUGCUCCUGGGAAGCUGUGUGAGGUGGUGAUCAACUGUGUAUGUGUUGGGUGGGUGUAUUGUUGCCUCAGUGGUUUUUGUGCCUUUUAGUAUUUACUGCACACUCUCUUCUAGGAGAUCCAAGCCAGAUGUCCAGGAAAAGGGUGAGUUCUCCUUUCUCCUCUUAAAUGCUCCAGCCUUGAAAGCCAUAUUCUGCUUUCAGCUGCUCUACUGGGCAUCUGUGCCUGGAGACAUCGAUGUCUACUUACAACUUAGGAGAGCACUGGGCAGUAGAGCCUGUGGGGAGCAGCAGUGAGUUCUCAUAUCCUCAUUUCACAGAGGAAGAGCCUUCAGUGAAGGCACAAUGGGAUGUGGCCAGGUCCUACAGCCAGACAGUGGUAGGGGCAGGACUGGAACCCAGGACCCAGCGUGAAACUCCCUAUCCAGUGCUUGUCCCACCAGCCAUGCCAUUCUCCAACAGCUGUGUGACCCCAGGCAAGUCACUGUCUUCUCUGCACUCAGUAUCCUGGCGUGUAGUUGGCCUUUCAGACCUGAUCCAGCCUCAACUUCUGAGAUAUUCUGGGUAAAGAACCUCGCCUCCUCAACUUUGCUGUCCGCAAGUGAUAUUCUUCUUCUCUUGAUCUGUCAUCAGUCAGGCUGAAAUCACUCCCGUGGAGCCUUCGCGGAGGAUGUGUGUCCUGGCACUGAGAGCCCUCCGUCAUCCAGAGCUGGGUGGUUCCUGCACCCUGGACUCUCUGAGGUGGAGGAAGAUGGCCAUAAGUUCCCCAGAGUGGCAGAACUUUGGUUUUCCGGUAUGGAGAUAAAGUGAUUUGGAUGUUGUAUUCAUUUCCUGUGUCUGCUCUAACAAAUUACUACAAACUUCAUGGCUGACAGCAACAGAAAUUUGUUCUCUCACCGUUCUGGUGGCCAGAUGUCCUCAAUUAGUAUCACUGGGCUGAAGUCAAGGUGUCAGCUGGGCCAAGCUCCCUCUGGGGGCUGUAGAGGAGAAUGUGUUCCUUGGCUUUCCCAGGUUCUGGUGGCUGCUGGCAUUCCUUGGCCUGUGACCACAUCACUCCCAUGUCUGCCUCCACAGUCACAUUGCUGUCU
rnacentral:lncRNA from 1 species